GCAGUUGUGGUGUGAGGGCAAUCUCCUGUGAACGUUGAGGUGUGAGGACGUUUUGAUUUGGCAGUUGAGGUUCAGGGACACUCUGCUGUGGCAGUUGAGAUUCAGGGGCAUUCUGCUGUGAUGGUUGAGGUUCAGGAGCGCUAUGCUGUGGCGGUUGAGGUUCAGGGGCACUCUGCUUUGGCAGUUGAGGAGGAAUGCUCUGCUGAGGCGGUUGAGGUUUGGGAACAACGGCUCGACGACAUUUUUU
rnacentral:lncRNA from 1 species